rnacentral:rRNA from 1 species
GGACUACCGGGGUUUCUAAUCCUGUUCGCUCCCCACGCUUUCGCGCCUCAGCGUCAGUUACAGACCAGAGAGUCGCCUUCGCCACUGGUGUUCCUCCACAUCUCUACGCAUUUCACCGCUACACGUGGAAUUCCACUCUCCUCUUCUGCACUCAAGUCUCCCAGUUUCCAAUGACCCUCCACGGUUGAGCCGUGGGCUUUCACAUCAGACUUAAGAAACCGCCUGCGCGCGCUUUACGCCCAAUAAUUCCGGACAACGCUUGCCACCUACGUAUUACCGCGGCUGCUGGCAC